rnacentral:rRNA from 1 species
GAUCAUGGCUCAGGAUGAACGCUAGCUACAGGCUUAACACAUGCAAGUCGCGGGGCGAGCAGGUACAGAAGCUUGCUUCAGUACGCUGGCGACCGGCGCACGGGUGAGUAACGCGUAUCCAACCUGGCCCAUACCACGGGACAGCCCGUCGAAAGGCGGAUUAAUACCGUAUGCAGUCAUUAGGGAGCAUUUUUUGAUGACGAAAAGGAUUUGGCGGUAUGGGAUGGGGAUGCGU